AACGAACGCUGGCGGCAGGCCUAACACAUGCAAGUCGAGCGAGGACUUCGGUUCUAGCGGCGGACGGGUGAGCAACGCGUGGGAACGUGCCCCUUGGUACGGAAUAGUCCCGGGAAACUGGGAGUAAUACCGUAUGAGCUCUACGGAGGAAAGAUUUAUCGCCAAGGGAUCGGCCCGCGUUGGAUUAGGUAGUUGGUGGGGUAAUGGCCUACCAAGCCGACGAUCCAUAGCUGGUUUGAGAGGAUGAUCAGCCACACUGGGACUGAGACACGGCCAAGACUCCUACGGGAGGCAGCAGUGGGGAAUCUUAGACAAUGGGCGCAAGCCUGAUCUAGCCAUGCCGCGUGAGCGAUGAAGGCCUUAGGGUUGUAAAGCUCUUUCAGCUGGGAAGAUAAUGACUGUACCAGCAGAAGAAGCCCCGGCUAACUCCGUGCCAGCCGCCGCCGUAACAC
rnacentral:rRNA from 1 species